rnacentral:rRNA from 1 species
AACGAACGCUGGCGGCAUGCCUAACACAUGCAAGUCGAACGAAGCCUUCGGGCUUAGUGGCGCACGGGUGCGUAACGCGUGGGAAUCUGCCCUUUGGUUCGGAAUAACAGUUGGAAACGACUGCUAAUACCGGAUGAUGACGAAAGUCCAAAGAUUUAUCGCCAGAGGAUGAGCCCGCGUAGGAUUAGCUAGUUGGUGUGGUAAAGGCGCACCAAGGCAACGAUCCUUAGCUGGUCUGAGAGGAUGAUCAGCCACACUGGGACUGAGACACGGCCCAGACUCCUACGGGAGGCAGCAGUGGGGAAUAUUGGACAAUGGGCGAAGGCCUGAUCCAGCAAUGCCGCGUGAGUGAUGAAGGCCCUAGGGUUGUAAAGCUCUUUUACCCGGGAUGAUAAUGACAGUACCGGGAGAAUAAGCCCCGGCUAACUCCGUGCCAGCAGCCGCCGUAA